GACGAACGCUGGCGGCGUGCCUAAUACAUGCAAGUAGGACGCAGUUGCGAACGGGUGAGUAACGCGUAGGUAACUGCCUAUUAGAGGGGGAUAACUAUUGGAAACGAUAGCUAAUACCGCAUACUAGUAGAUGGACCUGCGUUGUAUUAGCUAGUAGGUAGGGUAAUGGCCUACCUAGGCGACGAUACAUAGCCGACCUGAUAGGGUGAUCGGCCACACUGGGAAUGGGACAACGCCCAGAAUACUACGGGGGGCCGCAAUAGGGAAUCUUCGGCAAUGGGGGGAACCCUGACCGAGCAACUGCGGGUGAGUGAAGAAGGUUUUCGGAGCGUAAAGCUCUGUUGUGAAGGAAGCGGUACUUAACCAGAAAGGGACGGCUAACUACGUGCCAGCAGCCGCGGUAAUAC
rnacentral:rRNA from 1 species